GUACGCUAUUCAGAGUUUGAUCCUGGCUCAGGAUUAACGCUGGCGGCGUGCAUAACACAUUCAAGUCGAACGAAGCAGCAAUGCUUAGUGGCGGACGGGUGAGUAACGCGUGAGCAAUCUACCUCCCAGUACGGAAUAACAACCGGAAACAGUUGCUAAUACCGUAUGAAAUAGCAGUACCGCAUGGUACAACUAUCAAAGAUAUAUUGCUGGGAGAUGAGCUUGCGUCCGAUUAGCUAGAUGGCGGGGUAACGGCCCACCAUGGCAACGAUCGGUAGCCGGACUGAGAGGUUGAACGGCCACAUUGGAACUGAGAUACGGUCCAG
rnacentral:rRNA from 1 species